GAUGAACGCUAGCGACAGGCUUAACACAUGCAAGUCGAGGGGCAGCGUAGAAGUAGCAAUACUUUGGUGGCGACCGGCGCACGGGUGAGUAACGCGUAUGCAACCUACCUAUCAGAGGGGGAUAACCCGGCGAAAGUCGGACUAAUACCGCAUAAAACAGGGGCACCGCAUGGUGAUAUUUGUUAAAGAUUAAUUGCUGAUAGAUGGGCAUGCGUUCCAUUAGGUAGUUGGUGAGGUAAUGGCUCACCAAGCCGACGAUGGAUAGGGGAACUGAGAGGUUGGUCCCCCACACUGGUACUGAGACACGGACCAGACUCCUACGGGAGGCAGCAGUGAGGAAUAUUGGUCAAUGGGCGAGAGCCUGAACCAGCCAAGUCGCGUGAAGGAAGAAGGAUCUAUGGUUCGUAAACUUCUUUUGCAGGGGAAUAAAGUGGAGGACGUGUCCUCUUUUGUAUGUACCCUGAGAAUAAGGAUCGGCUAACUCCGUGCCAGCCGCCGCUGUAAAAC
rnacentral:rRNA from 1 species